CAGUCGCCGCGGGAAUACGUAGGUGGCAAGCGUUGUCCGGAAUUAUUGGGCGUAAAGGGCUCGCAGGCGGUUUCUUAAGUCUGAUGUGAAAGCCCCCGGCUCAACCGGGGAGGGUCAUUGGAAACUGGGAAACUUGAGUGCAGAAGAGGAGAGUGGAAUUCCACGUGUAGCGGUGAAAUGCGUAGAGAUGUGGAGGAACACCAGUGGCGAAGGCGACUCUCUGGUCUGUAACUGACGCUGAGGGGCGAAAGCGUGGGGAGCGAACAGGAUUAGAGACCCCUGUAGUCCCUGUCUCUUAUAA
rnacentral:rRNA from 1 species